GGGGCUUGAGGCCGUGAAGGCUGCAGGGGGAGAAGGGGAGGCUGCUGGUGGCUGAAUACAGGACAAAAGGAAACAGGAGUCAGCAUCCAGGAGUGAAGGUGCCAUGGGGAGUGAAAGGACAUAGGGCCCAAGGUGGACAGAGAAGCCAGUUCACAAGUAAGGGUUAUGGUUGGUGGGGCCAUGGGGGGAUGGACUGGAGGGGAGAGGGUGUGUAUAGGAGCCGGGGCUGGUCAUGAGAGUAGAGGCCUGGGGCAUGGGGUGCACUGCAGCUGUCACUCAUCUCAUCAGUGGGUCCCUUGGGGGCAGUAGGUUUCAGCUCUAAAAAUCUACCUGUUGUCACCUGGGCUCCUCCCCUUGGGCUUGGCGAGGGGUGAGCCCUGUAUGGAGGUGCAGGCCUCUGUGGCCUCAGAGGGCCCCUCCACCCAAGAGCCACAUUUCAUGGGAGAGCCGGAGCCAGGAACCCCACACUGAUAAAGAAGUGUUUUCAUUCUUGGGGGUGUUAAUUAACACAGAUUAGAUUUCAACUAAGUGAACCUUUUGUUGCAGGAGCCUUUCUAAUCAAGGUAGUUUCAAUACUACUGCCGUUUCAGUGAGCCAGUUCAGGUUCAUUACUUUGGUCUGUUUCCACCCCAGGUAUUUAGCCCCAAUGUUGUUACUUAUGGCCUGACUGGGUCCAGUUUUUCAAAAUUGAUUUAGCUACUGGCCUGGUGUCGCUCUCAGACAUCACCCUUGUGAGGUGCUGAGCCUGGAAAAAGACAACCCAAGCAUGCAGCCACGUUUUCUGGGCUCUGUGAAUUUUAUUAAAUAUUUACACGUAUUUUCUUCAGUUUCCUGAAGUAAUCAGGACAAGAUGGGCUUUGAAUGCUUUCCAGUUGUCGUGUUUAUGAAUAAUUCCAUCAGUUCUUACUGUAUGGAGAGAGACUGGAAAGGAAUGAGACAGAGGUGGAAGGCUAAAAGGAGGAAGGGGCGCUGGAUCUGGUGCAGGUCACAGAUGAAAAGAUGAGAAGCUUCCUGGCUUGGACAGGGCUUUGUGCUCCGUAGCUGCAUACCCCCACCACGCAGUCCUGACACUUCUUUUUUUUUUUUUUGUAUUUUUAGGGCCACACUUGCAGCAUAUGGAGGUUCCCAGGCUAGGAGUCAAAUCGGAGGGAGCUGUGCUGGCCAGAGACACAGGAUCUGAGCCUCAUCUGUGACCUACACCACAGCUCACAGCAACGCCAGAUCCUUAACCCUCUGAGCAAGUCCAGGGUUCGAACCUGCAUCCUCAUGUAAGCUAGUCAGAUUCGUUAACUGCUGGGCCACAAUGGGAACUCCAGUCCUGACACUUCUGUUCUUGCAGUGGACACUGCUUGUGUUUCUGGGUGACAGACUUUGCAGUUCUUUUUCUCUUUAAUAUUUUUCCUCUGGUCAUAUGUGCUGGGUAAUUUAGGAAUUAGCAAAGAAGAAAAUAUGUCACCUGGGAUCUUACCAACCCAAGGUAAUGACACUUAAGAUAAUAGUUUCAUUCCUUCUAGGUUUGACAGAGGAUCACUGGCUGUGAUCCUCCCCCAACUCUGCUUUCUAAGUGGCUGUGUAUGGUCUCUAAAAAUACCCCCUUUUCUAGAUAACUUGAUCUCUAAUCAUGCCUCAGUCAUUUUAGAUCCCUUUUAUGGGUUCACUAAGCCUGCCUUCACUUGAGAUAACUGGGAGCAGUCCUUAAAAUUCCAUCCUUACCCAUCCCACCCAUCAUGCUAGAGCUUUCUAGAGGUAGUCUUGACUGUCUUUCAUGGACAUUAGGGAUUGCUGGCUCAUGUUUGACACAGCUUGGAGGAAAAAAAUAACCACCAAGAUCAGUAACUGUCUUUAAGUAUCAUUGAUUCUGGUCACUGUAAUGUGACCAGUGUCCUCACGUGGAUUUGUAUAAAACACAGCAGGAGUACAGAUGGGAGGGCAGUCUAUUCCGUGGCUAGGCUCAACAGGAAGCAACAUUGAACUGGGCCUUGAAGGAUGGGUAGAAUGUCGCCAUAUGGAUGGGUAGGGGCAGAAUAUUCUGGGGAAAAUGUUUAUUCCAUUCAUUCAUUCAGCAGGUCUCCCCUGCUAGCAUGCCACCGUUCAGGCAUGAUGGUUUGUUAGGAGUGUAGAGUUUCUCCUCUGUAUUUUCUAGGAUGCCUGGCAUAGUGCUAUCUGUGUAUACAACAGUUAUUGGGGAAAUAUUUGAGUAAAUUUUUGAUAAUGUGUCUGACAGGUAAGGGAAGUAAAAAUUACUCUGACAUUAGCAGAAACUGAAUUUCAAAUGAACGAUGUAUAUGGAAAUAAAGCAAGACACAACUAUAAGUGUGUACUUAAUAUUUACCUCUCUUUUUAGCUGUUUUUAUUUUGUUUUCUUCCCAAGAAAUUUAUUGGGAGGAUUUCUGUGGUCUUUCAUAUAACUACAGCAUCCUCUUGUUACUAGUUUUAAUUCUGUGCUCUCCUAGUGCUGGAUAAGAGAACAUUAUGGUGAUGUUUUUAUUUUAUUUUAUGAUUAUGAUUUUUGUUUUUUAGGGCUGCACCCAUGGCAUAUGGAAGUUCCCAAGCUAAGGUGUUGAAUCUGAGCUGAAGUCACCGGCCUACACCACAGCCACAGCAAUGCCAGAUCUGGGCUGCAUCUGCGACCUACACCACAGCUCAUGGCAACGCCAGAUCCUUAACCCACUGAGUGAAGCCAGGGAUCGAACUCGCAACCUCAUGGUUACUAGUCAGAUUCGUUUCUGCUGAGCCACCACAAGAACUCCAGUUUUUGCUAUUAUUCAACAAAUUAUAUAGGGCCAGAAACCAUACAAAUCUCUGUUAACUUGUGCAGUUCCCUCAUGUUUGUGUAAAGUUUGCUUUUUACCUGUUAAAGCCCUGAACUUCCUUUCCAACUAACUCCUCCAUUGAGUUUAGCUUCCUGUGGGUCCAAGGGGUCAGUUUCUGAACUUUAUAUAAGUUUCUAUUUGGUGAGUCAACUUUCUAGUCAUGAUAAAGGGCAAAUUUUUCUUUUAUAAGCCUGGUAAGAUUUGUCAUUUUCCUGUCAUUCCAGUUUCUUGAGGGGGAGGGAAAGAAAAAUAUAAGCACCCUCUAAGUCUGCCUUCCAUUUUCCUACAGAGUAGGUAAUAGACUUUUCAUUUAUUUGAACAAAAGUAAAGUAAAAUAAAAUCAACACAAAGUAGACAAACAUCAUCCAAUCAACCAGGUAAAUUUGCCUUUAGCAGGUAGCCUUAAGUUGUGCCCUUAAAUGCAGUACUAUUUAUUGAAACAUUAAAAGUUAACCAAGAGUUCCCAUUUUGGCUCAGCAGCUUAAGAACCUGACAUUGUGUCCAUGAGGAUGUGGGUUUGAUCCCUGGUCUUGCUCAGUGGGUUGAAGAUCUUGCAUUGCCGCAAGGUGCAGCAUAGGUUGCAGAUAUGGUUGGGAUCUGGUAUUGCUGUGGCUGUGGUGUCGGCCGGCAGCUGUAGUACCAAUUUGACCUGGGAACUUCCAUAUGCCACAGAUGUGGGGAAAAAAGUUUAACCAGUAAAGGGCUCUGAUGUAGACUUUAUCAGUAUAAGUUCUUCUGUCUAUUUUGGUGCAAAAAUAUGUAGAACAUAAAAUGAAAUCUUGUAUCUCAAUCAUGUGACCAAGGGCCUUAGUUAUUACCAUUAUGAAGAGCCCUUACCCUCACCAUUUGGUCUAGCGUAUUUAAUUUUUAAGUUGGGAUGGUGUACAUAAUAGCUCUUAUUCUCUCCCUCUCUUUUUUUUUGGAACAAAAAAAUUUUAGAACUUUAAGGCUUCUUGUGGAUUACAGUCACUCUAGCACUCACAAAAGAACUUUCUUGUAAUUGUCUUUCAUUUCUUUAUACUCAUUUUUUAUUUUUUUAAUUUUUUUGUCUUUUUGUCUUUUUGUCCUUUUAGGGCCGGUGGGAAGGCAUAUGAGGUUCCCAGAUUAGAGGUCUAAUAGGAGUUGUAGCCACUGGCCUACGCCAGAGCCACAGCAACGCCAGAUCCUGAGCCCACUGAGCAAGGCCAGGUAUCAAACCCGAAACCUCAGGUUCCUAGUUGGAUUCAUUUCUGCUGCACCACGAUGGGAACUCCUAUACUCAUUUAUUCUUUACAUUCAUUUAGUUAUUUAACCAUUACAAGGCAUUUAGAUGAUUACUGUGAGGAGGACUAAGGUUUAAGACUGGUCUAUGAGAAUGUGUAAUCUAGUGGGAUCUAAUAGUAUCAUCUCCAUGCCUCCACAGAAGCUGUUCCCUCUGCCUGUUCUUUGUCUCUUCUUGUGCAUCUGGCAACUUCAUCUGUAGCCUUCAAGGCUUAGCUCAAACCUCUCUGAAGCUUUCCCUGACCCCUGUGUUGUUCAGGGCAGGGGAUCCCCAACACUGGGCUGUAGAUUCCUUGAGGGGAACCUUAUAAUUAUUGCAGUGGGUGAGCAAAUUCACAUGGAUACUAAACAUUAUCUGCAGACUAAAUAAACAAUAUGUUAUUUUAAAAAAUAUAUUAUUUUUGAAAUGUAUGUAGAUGUCAUUGUGAAAAGUGAAAUAAAUUGAAUUUUUAAUUAAUUAAACAAUUUAAAAUAAAGCCUUAUUGAGAAUUCCCUAGUGGCACAGUGAGUUAAGGAUCCUGCCUUGUCACUGGUGUAACUCAGGUCACUGCUGUGGUGUCUGUGGGUUCGGUCCCUGGCCCGGGAACAUUUACAUGCCUUGAGUGUGGUCCCCCCCCCAAAAAAUAAAUAUAUUAAAAAGCCUUAUUGAAUGCAUAGUAGCUCUUUGUCCUUUUGUAAUUUUACAGUCAACAGAUACAAAAAGUAUAACCAUUAUGAUGGAGGUCUAUGAAUUUUUUUAAAGUUAAAAAUCAUUAUUCAGAGUUCCCAUCAUGGCGCAGUGGUUAACGAAUCUGAUUAGGAACCAUGAGGUUGUGGGUUCGGUCCCUGCCCUUGCUCAGUGGGUUAAAGGAUCUGGCGUUGCCGUGAGCUGUGGUGUAGGUUGCAGACUCGGCUCGGAUCCUGCGUUGCUGUGGCUCUGGCGUAGGCGGGUGGCUAUAGCUCCGAUUCGACCCCUAGCCCGGGAACCUCCAUAUGCCGUGGGAGCGGCCCUAGAAAAGGCAAAAAGACCAAAAAAAAAAAAAAAAAAA
rnacentral:lncRNA from 1 species